UACGAAUGGGGCUAGCGUUGUUCGGAAUCACUGGGCGUAAAGGGCGCGUAGGCGGCUUUAUAAGUCGGGGGUGAAAGCCUGUGGCUCAACCACAGAAUUGCCUUCGAUACUGUAGAGCUUGAGACCGGAAGAGGUAAGUGGAACUGCGAGUGUAGAGGUGAAAUUCGUAGAUAUUCGCAAGAACACCAGUGGCGAAGGCGGCUUACUGGUCCGGUUCUGACGCUGAGGCGCGAAAGCGUGGGGAGCAAACAGG
rnacentral:rRNA from 1 species